rnacentral:rRNA from 1 species
ACGAAGGGUGCAAGCGUUGUUCGGAAUUACUGGGCGUAAAGGGCGCGUAGGCGGCUUUGUUAGUCAGAUGUGAAAUCCCAAGGCUCAACCUUGGAGUUGCAUUUGAUACUGCAAAGCUCGAGUUAGGUAGAGGAUGGUGGAAUUCCUAGUGUAGAGGUGAAAUUCGUAGAUAUUAGGAGGAACAUCAGUGGCGAAGGCGGCCAUCUGGACCUUUAACUGACGCUGAGGCGCGAAAGCGUGGGUAGCAAACAG